rnacentral:rRNA from 1 species
UACGUAGGGUGCGAGCGUUAAUCGGAAUUACUGGGCGGAAAGUGUGCGCAGGCGGCCGAGCAAGUCGAGUGUGAAAUCCCCGAGCUUAACUUGGGAAUUGCGCUCGAAACUACGUGGCUGGAGUGUGGCAGAGGAAGGUGGAAUUCCACGUGUAGCGGUGAAAUGCGUAGAGAUGUGGAGGAACACCGAUGGCGAAGGCAGCCUUCUGGGCCAACACUGACGCUCAUGCACGAAAGCGUGGGGAGCAAACAGG